AGGACAAAAUCGAUUUCACCAGGAGCAUUACAACCAUACGGUAUACAAUAGUACGCGUGUCUCGUAAUCUAUAGUAUUGUUUUUCAUUUUUCUUUUUUAUAUAUAUAGGUAAUAUUUAAGCUUUUGAGUAAAGUGAGGAAUUUAUUGGUUUUAUUAUGAUUUUAGAUUCUGAAUGAUUUGAGAAAUAAUUACAACGAUGUUUA